rnacentral:rRNA from 1 species
CCUACGGGAGGCAGCAGUGAGGAAUAUUGGUCAAUGGGCGCAAGCCUGAACCAGCCAAGUCGCGUGAGGGAUGACGGUCCUAUGGAUUGUAAACCUCUUUUGUCGGGGAGUAAGGCCCGCCACGUGUGGCUGGAAGGAUAUUACCCGAAGAAAAGGCAUCGGUUACCUCCGUGCCAGCAGCCGCGGUAAUACGGAGGUUGCGACCUUUAUCCGGAUUUAUUGGGUUUAAGGGGUGCGUAGGCGGUAGGUUAAGUAAGUGGUAAAAUGUCGGUGCUCAACACCGGCCUGCCGUUGAAACUGGUCUUCUUGAGUGAGCGAGAAGUAUGCGGAAUGCGUGGUGUAGCGGUGAAAUGCAUAGAUAUCACGCAGAACUCCGAUUGCGAAGGCAGCAUACCGGCGCACAACUGACGCUGAGGCACGAAAGCGUGGGGAUCGAACAGGAUUAGAUACCCCAGUAGUC